UACGAGGGGGGCGAGCGUUAUUCGGAAUUAUUGGGCGUAAAGGGCGCGUAGGCGGCUUUUCAAGUGACGGGUGAAAUCCCUCGGCUUAACCGAGGAACUGCCUGUCAGACUGGAAGGCUUGAGACCGGGAGAGGUGAGUGGAAUUCCCAGUGUAGCGGUGAAAUGCGUAGAUAUUGGGAGGAACACCAGUGGCGAAGGCGGCUCACUGGACCGGAACUGACGCUGAGGCGCGAAAGCGUGGGGAGCAAACAGG
rnacentral:rRNA from 1 species